CUUUCCCUCUUUCUUCAGGCCUAACACAUGCAAGUCGAGCGGAUGAAGGGAGCUUGCUCCUGGAUUCAGCGGCGGACGGGUGAGUAAUGCCUAGGAAUCUGCCUGGUAGUGGGGGAUAACGUCCGGAAACGGGCGCUAAUACCGCAUACGUCCUGAGGGAGAAAGUGGGGGAUCUUCGGACCUCACGCUAUCAGAUGAGCCUAGGUCGGAUUAGCUAGUUGGUGGGGUAAAGGCCUACCAAGGCGACGAUCCGUAACUGGUCUGAGAGGAUGAUCAGUCACACUGGAACUGAGACACGGUCCAGACUCCGACGGGAGGCAGCAGUGGGGAAUAUUGGACAAUGGGCGAAAGCCUGAUCCAGCCAUGCCGCGGGUGUGAAGAAGGUCUUCGGAUUGUAAAGCACUUUAAGUUGGGAGGAAGGGCAGUAAGUUAAGACCUUGCUGUUUGGACGUGACCAACAGAAUAAGCACCGGCGAACUUCGU
rnacentral:rRNA from 1 species